ensembl:snRNA U6 U6 spliceosomal RNA
GUGCUCACUUCAGCAGCACAUAUACUAAAACUGGAAUGAUACAGAGAGGAUUAGCAUGGCCCCUGUGCAAAAAUGACACAUGAUAUUAUUCUCAAUCACUUGUUUCA